UUACGGCCAUAUCCCGUUGAAACACCCGUUUCCGUAUGAUCAUCCGUACGAUCACCGAAGUUAAGCAACGUCGAGCCUUGUCAGUAUCUAGAUGGGUGUCCGUUUGGGAAUAUAAGGUGCUGUAC